rnacentral:misc_RNA from 1 species
AAGUCGUAACAAGGUUUCCGUAGGGGAACCUGCGGAAGGAUCAUUAACGUUUUGUGUGUUUUAUAACAUGACAAUAUGUAAAUAUCCUAAAUUGUUAAAGAGAUGUUACAAUCUCGCGUCGUAUACGUAUACAAGACACUGACUGGUAUAUAAAUCCGCACCACGAGUCUAAUACGUUACGUUCGUUAAUUCUUUUGACCAUCUAGCGGUGGGUCACCAUUGUUUUUUAACAAAAAAACUUAUACUCUUUAAAAAUGUAACAAUUAAGUCAAGGUGUAAUACGUUGACAAAACUAUUACCCUGGACGGUGGAUCACUUGGCUCGCGG